rnacentral:rRNA from 1 species
UCGAGCGAGUCUGCCUUGAAGAUCGGAGUGCUUGCACUCUGUGAAACAAGAUACAGGCUAGCGGCGGACGGGUGAGUAACACGUGGGUAACCUGCCCAAGAGAUCGGGAUAACACCUGGAAACAGAUGCUAAUACCGGAUAAUAACAGAUGAUGCCUAUCAACUGUUUAAAAGAUGGUUCUGCUAUCACUCUUGGAUGGACCUGCGGUGCAUUAGCUAGUUGGUAGGGUAACGGCCUACCAAGGCGAUGAUGCAUAGCCGAGUUGAGAGACUGAUCGGCCACAUUGGGACUGAGACACGGCCCAAACUCCUACGGGAGGCAGCAGUAGGGAAUCUUCCACAAUGGACGCAAGUCUGAUGGAGCAACGCCGCGUGAGUGAAGAAGGGUUUCGGCUCGUAAAGCUCUGUUGUUGGUGAAGAAGGACAGGGGUAGUAACUGACCUUUGUUUGACGGUAAUCAAUUAGAAAGUCACGGCUAACUACGUGCCAGCAGCCGCGGUAAUACGUAGGUGGCAAGCGUUGUCCGGAUUUAUUGGGCGUAAAGCGAGUGCAGGCGGUUCGAUAAGUCUGAUGUGAAAGCCUUCGGCUCAACCGGAGAAUUGCAUCAGAAACUGUCGAGCUUGAGUACAGAAGAGGAGAGUGGAACUCCAUGUGUAGCGGUGAAAUGCGUAGAUAUAUGGAAGAACACCGGUGGCGAAGGCNNCUCUCUGGUCUGUUACUGACGC